rnacentral:tRNA from 1 species
UGUUAUGUGGCUUAGUUGGUUGAAGCGCCGGACUAGCGAAUAGAGUCGUGGGUUCAAAUCCCACCAAAACAA